rnacentral:lncRNA from 1 species
GGGCGGAUAAUAAGUCGCCAGUCCACAUUGGAUCGAUUUCUACUCUAGGAAAAUUGAAAAAGGGUGCUACUUCGAUUCAUUUGCUUUCCCUUUCUCACUCUGAAAGAAAGAAGAAAGCCUUGCUUUGCCUGCUUCCUUCCUCGCUAAUUGAAAGCAAGACUCACACGUCUGCUUAUGAAUCUUAUGGGUUCCUCACUUUUUCGGGGAAUCAUUUUUCUCCGGUCCUUGCAGGGCCCUACUCAAAUAAAAUAAUAUCUUGCUUGUUCAUUACCAUCUCCGUUCUUCUGCGAUAAGAAUGCUCCCAACGACUCGUUUGAGGCUGAUGAUAUAUAUAGCCGUAGCCUCCUGGCCGAGAAGAGAACUUUCACUGGGGAUUUCCUCAGUCUAUACUGACUCUCUA